UAGGGAAUAUUGGACAAUGGGGGCAACCCUGAUCCAGCAAUGCCGCGUGUGUGAAGAAGGCCUGCGGGUUGUAAAGCACUUUCAACAGGGAAGAAAUGUUUCUGGCUAAUACCCGGAAAUUUUGACGUCACCUGCAGAAGAAGGACCGGCUAACUCCGUGCCAGCAGCCGCGGUAAUACGGAGGGUCCGAGCGUUAAUCGGAAGUACUGGGCUUAAAGCGCGCGUAGGCGGUUUGGUCAGUCGGAUGUGAAAGCCCCGGGCUUAACCUGGGAAUUGCAUUCGAUACUGCCGAGCUAGAGUAUGGGAGAGGGAAGUGGAAUUUCCGGUGUAGCGGUGAAAUGCGUAGAUAUCGGAAGGAACACCAGUGGCGAAGGCGACUUCCUGGCCCAAAACUGACGCUGAGGUGCGAAAGCGUGGGUAGCGAACAGGAUUAGAUACCCCCGUAGUCC
rnacentral:rRNA from 1 species